AUGGCGUCCGUCUCCUUCCUCGAGCUCUCGCUCUCCUUGCUCUGCUUCGUCGUCUUCUACUACUUCCACGCCAGGGCCAAGCGGAAGAACCCGGUAAUCCCGCUGGAGCGGCCGCUGGUGGGCAUGCUCCCGGCGGCCGACGCAGCAGGAUGGCAUGGGGAAGGUCCAACGAUCGACGACCAAUCAGGUCGGAUCGAGCCAUGCUACAGCGUGAUUGAGGCCGGCCAGUCGGAGGUUUGCGUGUCGGGCAGGCAACGAGCGGCAUCGAUCGCCGCUGGCUAG
rnacentral:rRNA from 1 species